rfam:Nicotiana attenuata strain TT scaffold02745, whole genome shotgun sequence.
UGGACAAAUUAUUGUAUUCGACUGUUACGGCGCGAAAUAGGGGAUUACACUGUUUUUAAACGGAAAGUGAAUCAAUUAACAUAAUAGAUUCCU